AGAAGCCGGGGAAGGAGGGAGGGAAAGUAGAAUUCGGAGCUGGUGCGCUUGCGCAGUCGAGCCCGGCAGGAGGCGGGAAUUUCGACGCUGAGUCAUUGGAGGGGAAGCUUGCGAGUUCGAAUCCCGCAUUAGACAUUUUUUUUUGUAUUAAGUAGAAUAAAUCCUGCCAACCUAGCAGUUCGAUAACAUGCCAAUGUGAAUAGAGACGAGAUUCAUGUCAAAGCACAUGCAUCAACAUAGAAGAAGAAUGAAGCAUGGCGAGAGAAUAAGAAUAAGAGCUGACUCCAGGAAACAAGGAAGUGAUUACAUGGCAUAAACAUAUGGAAGGGAGGAGGAGAAAGAGGAGUUGGGCAACACAGAGGAGCAAACAGAAGAUGCUGAGUUUCUACAUGACUUCUGCAGCCUUCAGUUGGCUAGAUUUAACUCAGGUGAGCAGCCAGGGAUCAGCUUAAGGUCUCCUCUAAUUUCAUAAAGUCAAACUAUGGAUGCCUUGCUUCAGCCCCUACGACAUAGUCCAGCUCCAAAGCAUCCCUUUAUUUGUAUUGUUUGAAGGCUGUGGCCAAGAUCCUCCAUCAUUGUAUUAUUGUACUGUGAAUCAUUACCUGUAAAGCUAUGUUCCACUUCCAUUAUAAAACCCCAUUCAGUAAAUCAGCGUAA